rnacentral:rRNA from 1 species
UCGGGAAUUUUGGGCAAUGGGCGAAAGCCUGACCCAGCAACGCCGCGUGAAGGAUGAAGUUUUUCGGAAUGUAAACUUCACAAGAUUGGGAAGAAUAAGAAUGGGAUAACACCCCAUUCGAUGACGGUACCAUUUGUAAGCUCCGGCUAACUCCGUGCCAGCAGCCGCGGUAAUACGGGGGGAGCAAGCGUUGUUCGGAUUUACUGGGCGUAAAGGGCGCGUAGGCGGCGUGACAAGUCACUUGUGAAAUCUCUGGGCUCAACCCAGCAGCGGUCAAGUGAUACUGUCGUGCUAGAGUGCGGAAGGGGCAACUGGAAUUCUUGGUGUAGCGGUGAAAUGCGUAGAUAUCAAGAGGAACACCUGCGGCGAAGGCGGGUUGCUGGGCCGACACUGACGCCGAGGCGCGAAAGCCAGGGGAGCGAACGGGAUUAGAUACCCCGGUAGUCCUGGCCUUAAACGAUGGAUGCUUGGUGUCCGGGGUUUGAUAGUCUCCGGGUGCCGUCGCUAACGCUUUUAGCAUCCCGCCUGGGGAGUACGGUCGCAAGACUGA